UAUAAUGUUUAUAGCAAGGGUAACUUUGGUAAACUGUUAGUUGAUGUUUGUUUGCUUGUUUGUUUCACUAGUUAUCCCUCAUUAAAAAGGGGGUUCUUGCUAAGAAUAUCACCAUCUUCUACAAAAUGUCAGGAAUACACUGUGUUCAUUGCGAAACAGUAGUUACAAUACUAAAAAUACUGCAUCCUCACAAAAGACCAGUAUUUUUUGAUAGUAGCUUUCACAUAGUGUGUCUGUUUUUAUGUUGGUAUGAUGUAUAGUGGAAGAUCAGAAAACGUCGGCAGGAGGUGGGAGAGAAGGCAAUGCAGAGAUGAAGGACAUCAUACCACAAUAAUAGUUGUGUGUGUGUGUAUAAGCCUGAUCAACAAGUGAAAAGAGUCAGAUAAGAGGAAAGAGUUUGAAAACUGAUUUGAUGACCAUUGCUGAAUUGGCCUGCUAAGAGGAAGAGGCACUAAUGAUUCCAGAAGAGGAAGCCAAAGAAGAAGACCUACGCAGACUUUGAAAUGGUGAAGGAGAUAUACCACACGUCCUUCCUGCUGCUGCCAGACUUUAUAAUCAACACUGCUCCAAGUAGACCACA